rnacentral:rRNA from 1 species
GACGAACGCUGGCGGCGUGCCUAAUACAUGCAAGUCGAACGAAGCUGUUUUAACUGGUGCUUGCACCGACUUAAACAACUGAGUGGCGAACGGGUGAGUAACACGUGGGUAACCUGCCCCAAAGCGGGGGAUAACAUUUGGAAACAGAUGCUAAUACCGCAUAACCACAGAAACCACAAGGUUUCUGUGUCAAAGAUGGUUUCGGCUAUCACUUUGGGAUGGACCCGCGGCGUAUUAGCUAGUUGGUAAGGUAAUGGCUUACCAAGGCAAUGAUACAUAGCCGAACUGAGAGGUUGAUCGGCCACAUUGGGACUGAGACACGGCCCAAACUCCUACGGGAGGCAGCAGUAGGGAAUCUUCCACAACGGACGAAAGUCUGAUGGAGCAACGCCGCGUGAGUGAAGAAGGUUUUCGGAUCGUAAAACUCUGUUGUCAGAGAAGAACGUGUGCGAGAGUAACUGCUCGUGCAGUGACGGUAUCUGGCCAGAAAGCCACGGCUAACUACGUGCCAGCAGCCGCAGUAA